rnacentral:rRNA from 1 species
CCUACGGGUGGCAGCAGUGAGGAAUAUUGGUCAAUGGACGAGAGUCUGAACCAGCCAAGUAGCGUGAAGGAUGACUGCCCUAUGGGUUGUAAACUUCUUUUAUAUGGGAGUAAAAUGUUCCACGUGUGGGAUUUUGUAUGUACCCUAUGAAUAAGGAUCGGCUAACUCCGUGCCAGCAGCCGCGGUAAUACGGAGGAUCCGAGCGUUAUCCGGAUUUAUUGGGUUUAAAGGGAGCGUAGGUGGAUAGUUAAGUCAGUUGUGAAAGUUUGCGGCUUCACCGUAAAAUUGCAGUUGAAACUGGCAGUCUUGAGUACAGUAGAGGUGUGCGGAAUGCGUGGUGUAGCGGUGAAAUGCUUAGAUAUCACGAAGAACUCCGAUUGCGAAGGCAGUUCACUGGCCUGCAACUGACACUGAGGCUCGAAAGUGUGGGUAUCAAACAGGAUUAGAUACCCUUGUAGUC